AGCAGUUUUGAUACAUUUUUGGCCGGCCAUGAAGAAGUAGUUUGGCCAUACCCACAAUCUGUUCCUGCUUGCAUUUCAUCACACCUUAAAACCUGUUCUCUUAAAUAUUACAGUGGUUCUAUAGAUGAGAUUCAAUUUGCAAGUUAUAUUAUGGGGAAUGCAAAAUAUCUACGGAUCAUGAAAAUCUACAUUGACAGUGAAUCCCAUUUUACUUUUGGAGAAAAACUUCAUAUGAAAAGAGAAUUAUCCUCGUGCAUGAAGAGCUCGGAUACUUGUACACUUUCAUUUGAAUAUUCAUCGUGAUGUGAUCAAGCGCCCUGUGAAAGACGAGUCAGAGAAAGUAGCGGCUGGUGUUGAUGAUGAUUUUGUUUCAGAACAAAGAAGCUGUUGACAUACAAAUGAAAGACCUUCAGUUCUUUCAACAAAAUAGUGAGACUUAACAAUGUGGUGAAAAGCCUGAAAUUUCCACUUUACAAUAUGACAUUAUAUUUCAGAAACUAAGUUGAUUUAGCCUUUUGGUUUACUCACAGAAAAAUUGACAGUCAUCAUAGAUCACAUUCUCUUAUUUUUGAGAUCCAUAUUGAAUGUUGGGGUCAUGAUUUUUUGAAAACAGAAAUUUCAUGUAGUUACUGUCAGCAGAAUAGAUGGUGAAAGUAGCAGUAAAUGAUGUCUGUAAAGGGUGUUUUGUUUUUUAAACUCUUGAAGUGUUCUGAUCUAGUGUUAGUUCUUUCCUUCUACUCACCUUCUGAAAUGAAGAGCCUAGCUAGUUAUUGUAUCAA